GGGCCGGUGGUCUAGCCUGGUUAUGACGUCGCCCUUACACGGCGAGUCGGCGGUCCGACUCCGCCCCGGCCCA
rnacentral:tRNA from 1 species